rnacentral:rRNA from 1 species
UACGGAGGGUGCAAGCGUUAUCCGGAUUCACUGGGUUUAAAGGGUGCGUAGGAGGGUAGGUAAGUCAGUGGUGAAAUCUUCGAGCUUAACUCGGAAACUGCCGUUGAUACUAUCUAUCUUGAAUACCGUGGAGGUGAGCGGAAUAUGUCAUGUAGCGGUGAAAUGCUUAGAUAUGACAUAGAACACCAAUUGCGAAGGCAGCUCGCUACACGAAUAUUGACGCUGAGGCUCGAAAGCGUGGGGAUCAAACAGG